UGGCUAUCUUCAAGCUGGAAUGUUGGUCUUCUCCUACCUUCAGACUGGAACUAACCAUCACUUCUCCUGCUUUUCAGGCCUUCAAACUUGAACUGAAACUAUACCACUGGAACUCCUAGCUCUCCAGCUUACAGACAGAUGAUCACAGGACUUUUCAGCUUCAAUAAUCCACUCCUUUCAUCCAGAGGUAGAGUCUCUUCCUCACGCCUUGAAUCCUGGCUGGCUUGGUGUCUUGCUUUGACAAACAGAAUGAGAUGGAAGCAACAUGAUUGAAGCUGCAGAGCUCAGGCCUCAGAGGCUUAGCUCCUGCCUUCAUCAUCUGAGAAUCCUGAGGCCACCACUGUGCCAGGAAGAAGAUGGAGAUGCAGGACCACAUGAGAGAGAAGCUCAGCGCCCGGCCAUUCCAGCUGAGCCCGGCAUCUAGUGGAUGCAGUCACCGGAGCCAACCCAGACCAGACCAGUGGAAUAACCACCCAGCCAACCCACAACACUGUGAAAAAGAACGAAUUGUCAUUUUAAGCCACUAAGUGUGGAGUGGUUUGUUUCUCUGCAAUAAACAACUGAA
ensembl:lncRNA